AUUGAACGCUGGCGGCAGGCCUAACACAUGCAAGUCGAGCGAGCGGCGGACGGGUGAGUAAUGUCUGGGGAUCUGCCUGAUGGAGGGGGAUAACUACUGGAAACGGUAGCUAAUACCGCAUACCAUCCGAUGAGCCCAGAUGGGAUUAGCUAGUAGGUGGGGUAAUGGCUCACCUAGGCGACGAUCCCUAGCUGGUCUGAGAGGAUGACCAGCCACACUGGGACUGAGACACGGUCCAGACUCCUACGGGAGGCAGCAGUGGGGAAUAUUGCACAAUGGGCGCAAGCCUGAUGCAGCCAUGCCGCGUGUAUGAAGAAGGCCUUCGGGUUGUAAAGUACUUUCAGCGGGGAGGCGUUACCCGCAGAAGAAGCACCGGCUAACUCCGUGCCAGCAGCCGCGGUAAUUC
rnacentral:rRNA from 1 species